CCGCGCUGCGGGACAAUCCGCCGCCAUCCGCCCUCCGCCGGGGCCCUCCCGCCUCGUUGGUGCCCGGGGGCUCGGCGGGAUGACGCGGCUCCCUCCGUGGUGUGGGACCUGAGCCGCCGUGGGUGAGCGCCUGCCCGGGGUGGGGUGGAUGGGGGGUGGAGGGUUCCGGGCCUCGCCCGGCCCUAUCGAAGCUGCGCCUGCCGUGCGCUGUGGCAGCCGCAGUCAAAAAGGAGCCCAGAGCCACGCGUUUUCCUCGACGGUCGCUGCGCGGUUUGGUCUUCUGUAACCGCCCAGCAACAAAUGGGGAAACUACAGGGGCCGGGUCAGCGGCGCAGGGACUCCACCGCAGUGCUCUCAGGCAUUGGUGGCACCGAACCUGUGCUUCUGGGCCCGCGUUUGGAGGGGUGGUGGCGGGUGGGGCGCAGCACAGCGUUACCGUGCCUUUAAAUGCUUUUCUGUCUAAGGAGCGCUGUGGAGAUGCUGCUUGCAGUGCCACCCGGUGCAGGAGGCGGUGCUGGGCAGGGUUUCUCGCUGUUUGGAGCUCACUGCCUGCCUGCUGAUAGACCCAAGGAACUGCACGCUUAGUGGGAGAGGCUGAGAGCUUCUGAGACCCCGUGGAGGGUUUUGGUUUGCUUUGCUUAAGGCUGAAAUUGUGGAGAAACUGAAGUGGAGUGUGUCAGUGUCCCCUGUUUAAAUGGAAUACAGACCCGAGUGUCUUCAAUCCUAAAGAAGCGGUGGUCUGCACAACCACAUGGUGGCUGCUCUGUGAGUUGGGAGCUCCCCCAGGUGGGAGAGCUGCAGUGGUGCAGCAGUCACUGAGUGCUGUUGGCCAGGGGAGCCUCUGAGGGACACUGCCAGAGCUCCCAUUCAGGUGCUCAGUGAGGAAGAAUGUUCCCUGCUACAGAGUUCUGCCAAAAGAAGAGCUUUCAGGAAUGUCUGGGUAGGAAAUAUUUGGAGUCCAGUACCCAGGUCUGGGGCCUCCAGCACAGAGAGAUGUGCAGCAGAGCCAGAGUGAGUUGGAGAGGCAGCUGAACACGGGGCUGGGUGAUGGCUGCCCUCACUGCAUCAGUGUGUCAGCACACAGUGCUGAGGUUUGGGCACAGCAGAUAUGCCAAUGAGUCCUACAGCUCAUUCUCACCUCUUCAUCUGUUUGGAUGUGUAGCUCCAGGUACACAGUUUCUUAAAGUUUUACUGUUAAGACUUUUCCAUUACAGUAUGUAAGUAAUUUUAUUAUAAAAUAAUGGUAAAAUAUUUUACAAAAUGCAACUGUUUUGUGCUGCCAGUCUGUUAGCCUCUGUCUUUGGUUCUCUGGGAGGUAACAUGUAUGUGUCCAGAAACAUGGGAGUAGCAUCUCCCAGGGUGCUCCCAGAGGUUCUUGGGGUGCACAAAAGUUGCCUGAGAGCUCUGGGAGCAGUCUGGUGUGGCCCAAAGCACACUGGGGUGUAUACAGAUUAGAGGGGAGUAUACUGGAAAGCCUCUAAGGCACCAUAGAGCUCACUGAGAAGCUCUGGGAGUAUUGUAGUGUGCCCCAUAGGCAUCCUUGGAAGCCUCUAGGAUGCACUAGGAGACACGGACAAGCUUUGGAAGUCCAUUAGUGUGUCCUGGAGUAUGUUGGAUGGCCUAGGGAGGUCUCUGGGAUCCACUGCAAAGCCUUUUGUGUCACCCUGGGGGGGUCCUGGGAGUCCAGUAGGGCAGACAGGAAAUCGGUGAAGAACCCUGGAGCGUGCAGAGGGGCUGCAAGAGGGCUCUGGG
ensembl:lncRNA